CUACGGGACGCUCCAGUGAGGAAUAUUGCACAAUGGGGGGAACCCUGAUGCAGCAACGCCGCGUGGAGGAUGACGCAUUUCGGUGUGUAAACUCCUUUUAUAUGUCAAGAAAAUGACGGUAGCAUAUGAAUAAGCACCGGCUAACUCCGUGGCCAGCAGCCGCGGUAAUACGGAGGGUGCAAGCGUUACUCGGAAUCACUGGGCGUAAAGGACGCGUAGGCGGGUUGGAAAGUCAGGUGUGAAAUCCUACAGCUUAACUGUAGAACUGCACUUGAAACUUCUAAUCUAGAGUAUGGGAGGGGGGAUGGAAUUAGUGGUGUAGGGGUAAAAUCCGUAGAUAUCACUAGGAAUACCUAAAGCGAAGGCGAUCUCCUGGAACAUUACUGACGCUAAGGCGUGAAAGCGUGGGGAGCAAACAGGAUUAGAUACCCGAGUAGUC
rnacentral:rRNA from 1 species